GCUGAUGCCACGACAGACGACGAGAAGCUAGCUGCUGCAUCAGCUCUCGAGAAACACAUCAAUGCGACCAGAAAAGAGCACAAGGUGUACAAAGACUGCGUUACUACUGCUAUGGACGAAUUGAGAGGCACGGGUCGCCCUACAGAGCCAGUCGAGCCAUGCUCAACUGACUUUCAGCAUGCACAUUACACGUUCGACUUUGCUCAGAAUUUGUGCCUGCCACAUCACAGUCGCCAGAUGGGACCUAUGUACUUUGUCACUCCUAGAAAAGUUCAUUUAUUCGGGUUUCGGGACGACGCCCUUCCGAUUCAGUAUAAUUUUCUAAUCGACGAAGCCGAGACUAUGAUGCAGGAUGGAGGUGGCAUUCACGGGCC